GUGUUCACUUAAGGAGCACAUAUGCCAACAGUGGAAUAAUACAGAGAAGAUUAGACAUGAUUCCUGCACAAGGAUGGCAGGCCAAUUCAUGAAAUAUCCCUUUUUUGC
ensembl:snRNA U6 U6 spliceosomal RNA